UUGAUUUUUGGUUAAGGUAACGCCAGUGAAUUUGAACAAAAAGUAACGUAUUCUAAAAACGAUCUGUUUUCCGUUCUCAUUGUGGGUAACAAAUGAAAAGUAUUAUCUUAAACGGACAGUGCACGGUAAUCACAGUGGUUUGAGUGUAUGACAGUGGAAAAAAUAUUGUGGGACGACAAUUCGAAGAUAGAAAAAUAAGUUACAUGAUACCUCAAGGGAUUUAAAACAAACGAUGUGAGGGGAUUAUCAUAAUUAUUAGGUUUUGUUUUUGUAGUAAACGUUUGGGUUAAGGGGAUUUCCACGUUCCCAGAGACAAGGCAUUUUUAAGGCGUGCACUCACUAAUGCUAGUCUGAGUUUGUAAUUAGACAAGUGAAUAACGUAUUGGGAAUAGAGUUGUAAUUAAAAUACUAAGUCAAAGACGAGACAGGUAUUUUGAGCAAAAUGGAUUCUAAAUGAUAACAAAGAGACAAUUAUGAUUUAUGCCCAUCGAAAAGCUUUUAUAAAAUUGGCGAAUUUAGAGAUGUUGGUUGGGGUGGUAAAUUAUAAUUCAGGAUUUGAACAGAUGUGAUAAAUUAGGUUUGGUUAAUCGAACAAGAAUUAUUUACAAUUCAUUUGAAGUCGCUACGAAUUGGCAGGUUGAGCGCUUGAUGAUGACGUCACUAGCGAGACACUUUUGUCACCAGGGACUGGGGAUAACGGAGCAAAAUGUAUGGCUGUUAGUGUGUGUAUCGGGGUUUCGAGUAACUCUUAAGAAUUUGAUAUAAAAAUGGUUUGGUUAUUUGUUUACUGGUUAUGGUCAAUUUUAGGGGUUGAUUAAACUUGAACAGUAUGUUCUGGCGGUUUUAGAUAGAACUCUUUGUUCCGGAACGGAUGAGAGUUACCCAAAAUAAGUAAAUUAAAGGAGCCAUGAGAGAAUGCGAAUGCAUAUUUAUUAAAUAUCGGGGAUUAAAUUACGGAUUCCUUACACUGUGAAAUGUACGACAUUUGCGGCAGAGAGAAAAAGUAAUGCAUUGGAUAAUAAUGUUAUCGGGUUAAUUGUAUCUAAAGGUAGCAUGGUCAUUUAAGUAAACAUAUCCGUAGACGAUGUUUAAAACUUAUGAUUAAUGAUUUGAGUCAAAGGGGAAUUAUCAUUAGGUUUUAGUUAUAGUUCACUUAUUGAGUUUCUGAUUCGAGGUAGCAUUAGUGAAUGAUAGUUAGGUGUGUGGUGUCUCACUUUUAGAGGCCUCCUGGGAUUAUAAUUUUGGGGAGAGUGGGGGAGAGAGCAGCUUUAAACGACCAAAUUGAAAAAGGUCUGCAAAUUAUAUAUAUAUAAAACAACUGUUAGAACGAUUUGUUUUAGUGCAAGGAGAUUUUAAAGAGGCACGCUCACAGAUGGAACCUUAUGAGAUGUUUUUUUUAUGGGUUUGAAUUAUACAGGUGACUAUUUCUAUUGUAAGGAUAAAGGGAUCUUUAUGUCUAAUAUGGUAUGGCCUUUUGACCUUAUCAUGACUGGCUUCUGAGGUCUGAUCAGCCUCAGGGGAGAGUCAUUUGUAUAAUGAAUGGGGUCAUAUUGAGUUACUAGUUUUAAGGUAAAUUCAUUAGAAAUGAAGCAGUUUUGGUUGAGGGCUUAGAAUUACUGUUUGAGCCACAAAUGAGAAAGGGGUUCAGGAUUCCGUCUUAUAACAUGAGCUGUGAAGUUUUUUGAAUGGGCUAUUAGGGAGUUGGUAUUGUAACAGAGAGAAAGUCAUAUUCAUCAUUGAGAAUAAAUAGGGGAAGAUAACAUAUUUUGAGCCAACAGGGCAGGGAAGAAAUUGAGGUAUGUUUGUUUGGUUUUAACACCCGUGUACAGGAGUGUCAAAAGAGGGGGGACAUUACCUGUGUAAUGGGGGAGGGUGUCCAUAUGGGGAUUACAUGAUAACCAACUUGGGACAGUUCUGGGAUUGUAGAAGAGGAUAUCCUUAUAGCAUAGGGAAUCCCACAAAGGUGGAUAGGUUUUCCAUGAUAUGGGGGAAACCUGGGAGCACUGUUGAACUUUGUAAAGGUGAUGAAAUCCUACUAACCAUCAAAACUAUUAAGCUCUCUGAUGCAGGCACUUACACCCCCGGACUACAAAGGACCGGGACAGACACGGUGGGUGUGUUUUCUAUUAAGGUACUGCCAAAACCAGAGGUCCCAGACGAACCAGGGUCAGACACACUCCUCUACCACCCCUGGACCGAACCUGCCACCACUGUGUUAAAAAUCUCAUUCAGGUAAUUAAUGUUAGACUAUUCAGCUAUUGAUCAAUUAGGCACGGAGACUGGUUUUGAUGGUAGGGACAAUUUGUGGCUGUCUUAUACAGAAUAGACUUGCUUAGGAUAUGCUUCUUGCUAGUCAGGGGGGCGCCUGCAAGAUGUUCGGUGAACAAUGUUGCACGUAUAUUCCUAAUAACACCAGUCCAGAUGGUAGUAUAUCUAAGGGCCUUAAUGGGCUUGAUGCACUAUCUGCUGAGAUGAGGACCAUCGCGGGGGUGGAGGAGUCUGACUGUUCAAAUGAGUUGGGAGCCUGGUUAGGUAAGUACACUGGUAUGGUGGGUACUGGAUUUCUGACCCUAAUUCUUGUAUUAUUUGUUAUUGAUGUGAUGUGCAGCUUGCAUCAUACCGUGUUUUAAGAAGUCUGUUACAGAUGUGGUGAAGGCUUCAGGCAUGAUGCCUUUGCUUGAUGCUCCAGUUGGAGAGGCUGAGGUGAAGCAUACUUUCAGGGGAGGAUAAGACUGACUGAGGAUGACCCAUGUAUGUUUGUUCUCCCUGUCGUGAAGGGUGGCAUGGUGCCCACCUGGUGUUGGAUAAGAAUAGCUGAGAGGACCAGAUGGGUUAUAAGAAUGCUUUGUUCUGCUUUACUCUGUUUUCCAGGACCAAAGUUUUAUUCCACACUUUGCAACACAUUAAAUCCAUGUUAUUGUCAGAUAGAAUACUGAGGGUCCCCAAGGAGAGGGCUUGUUAGUGUAGGAAGGAUUUUUAAUAUGGUUAGCAUUUAUUAGAUUAUAAGUUUUUAAAUAGUAUUAUAUUUAACAGGAAUAUAGGACAUCUAUGAUGAGUUAGGAUUAUUGUUAGGAUUAAGAUAGAUUGAUUAAGGACUUUAGAGAAAAGCCGCUCAUAGACAUGUUCUUUCUAAAAGAAAAUCCAUGAGUUUAGAAAGACAAACAGUGAGGCAUGUAGUUCAAAUUUGGGAAUGUGAAAAACAGCCACGGGCAGGCAGAAGAGCCCUCCCCCGCACUGCAGAGACCUUGACGGUUGGAGAGCAGAGAAGUUUAGAAGGGGAGCCAGGAAGAGCAAAGAUAACAUAGUGUGUAGAUACUAAGUGGAGACAAAAGCGAGAAUUGGAGUCAUUGUGUAAGAAUAAGGCAAGGUUGUUACCUGGGCAGAGCCAGGUAACAAAAGGGGGAUGGGUAAAUAGUGUUCUGGAAUAGGAUGUGACCUACGCGAUAAUUAACUAAUACGAUUUUUUUGGCUAAUAAACAGAACGAAUAAGAAACUGUUUUAUUAGCCAAACCCGUAUGUCAAAAGUUUUAUGCCCAGCAGGAGAACUACAGAAGGAGGUGGCACACGAGAUUCAACCAGGAGACUGGAUCUGGGUCCGAUCACUAAAGAAAAAAAACUGGAAGCAGCCUCGGUGGGAGGGACCAUUCCAAGUACUACUGGUGACUGCCUUCGCUGUGAGAUUAGCCGAAAGAGCUACCUGGGUGCAUAUCACACAUUGUAAGAGGGUAAGUCACCCUAGCACUGUCGGACAAUCACAGGAGUAGGAGAGGAACCGUGACCCAUAUGGAACGGGGGUCAAACUCCUUCUGAAGAUUCCCUAUACCCGACCUUUCCCCAGCUGUGAGCGUUCAUAGAAGUGAAGUGAUGGCUUGGCCUCUGGCUGUUGAUAUGUUCUCGGGGAGAGGGUGGGGCUUCAUGUGUGCACUGACCAUCCUGAGCUGUUUUAUUGUGGGGGCCAUAUUCCUGAUUCACCAUGAUCCCCCGGAGAGUGCCAAAGAGGAUAAUUUGACUCAUGUGCUAGAGGAGGGAAAUGGGAUGUUACCAAAGAUUCUCAAAAGGUCACUGAAACAAAAUAGUAAGGAAGUGAGGGUGGAAUUGGGCAAGGAUCUCUCAGUAGAAUUUUGUGUAGACCAAUUGGGGUCAUUCACUCCUUGGCAGUCUAGAACCAUGGGACUCUAUGGGAAGUAUUUGUGUAAAUCACCGUGUAAGUCGUGGAGCCAGGUCAUAGCUCACACUGAAAGGGAUGGCUACGUAAACCCAUACACUCAAUUUGGGACCAGGUGGAGACUGGGUUUGGGGAGUCCAACUUAUGGUUGGAAUGGAUUCAAUAUAUGGCCAGAUCAGUGGCUAAAGAAGAAUGUUAUGCCUGUGCGAACGCUAAACCCCAGUUAACAACUAUCCCUUUCCCACUGAACGGAAUUAAUUCCCCUAAGGGAAUGGCAUGUAUGGUAAAGCUGUUCAUGAAAGCAGGAAUGCCAGAUAAUGACAGUUGUAUAGAUUUGCACUAUUUAUAUCCCCAGGAACCAAGUUAGUACAGAGAAUAUGACCACUGACGAGACCAUGUCUGAAUUGACAGGCUGGUUGAACUCUGGGGAUUUCAAUAAAAUAAAAUGGGCCAGUGUCGCCAUCUGGUGGUUGUGCGGGGGAAUGAGUUUGUGGUCAGUAUUGCCGACUGAUUGGACUGGUUAGGAAUGCCUUUUACACUCAUACAACACCAAGACAUGAAGUUAGCCAAAACGAGAGAGAAGAGAUGCUCCAUCUGGGGCUUUUGACGACAGAGUAUAUAUUGAUAACAUUGGGGUUCCACGAGGUGUGCCGGAUGAGUUCAAGGCAAGAAAUCAGAUACUAACAGGAUUAGAGUCAAGCAUUUUCUGGUGAUCUACUCUCAAAAAGAAUGCAGACUGGAUUAAUUAUAGUUACCAGAAGUGUUAUUAAAGGUUUUGUAGAACAGACUGAAGCAACCAGCUGGAAGACCUGACAGAAUAGAAUUGCAUUAGAUAAAAGGAGGAAGUGGGCGUGGUAAUCAGGACCAUGUCUUACAUCCCAGGUAGCACAGCUCCGGACGAAUCAGUGCCCGAAGCCUCAGCUGUUUUGACCACCCUGGCUCACGGGUUGGCAGAAACUCUGGGGUGGAUACUUCUCUGAACUAAAUUGGGUUGACAGUAUUUAUGGAAAAAUGUGAUGUUUUGGGCUGUAUCCACCUGCAUGACUGUUUUAAUUUUAUGCGGCUGUUGUCUAAUUCCCUGUGUGCGAGGCCUUGUUUCCAGGACUCUGGAGAGAUCAAUGACACUACAGAUGGUGCGUUAUGGGCCGAUUCCAGGUUCUGACCUGUGGAGGACUGAAGGCAUGUCUACCGAGGAAGUGGACGAAUCUGGAUCUGUCAUUUGUGGGGAAUUUAUGUUUGUUGAGGCUAGUGUUGAGAUGAAGGGGAAUUAGAUUGUAAUUUGUUUCCAUGAUUAAAAACUGUUUUUUUAAUGAAGGUCGUGACGAAAAUCCGGAAGGAAGAGUUAUGAUUCUGAUGUAGGUUUAAAAACAGUUGGAGUUAAGGUUAGAUUUGAUUAAUGAAAUGUGAAGAGUUGGAUAAACAUUUAUAAUUGAUUUGUUGAUUAUGUGUCUAUUCAUAUGAUAAUCUGAUAAACCUCUAUAAAAAGGUUAGUUAAGUUCGUUUAUACUUUCAUUUUUUAUGAUUAAAUAAAACUAGAUGUAGAAUUGAAUGUAUAAUAUUUGAUCAAAGGGAGGAUUGUUAGAGGAAAUUAUAGUUUAGAUGAUUAAUUAUGUAUACAUUAUUGAUUAGAACCAUUUAUUCUAAUACUAUUAUGUUAUGGUAUGAAAAGUAAAAGUUAUUGGUUAAGCUGUUACUGAAAAUGUAAGCAGAAUGAAUUAAUUGUCUGGGCCUCUUGGGAAGUUAACGGAGAAGCGAGGCUAUGGCUUGUCAGAAAGAUAAGAAAUGUCUGGGAGAGUUUCCAGACCUAACACUAACAAUAGGCUCUUGUGAGAAUCGGAGAGAGGGGGGAUAAACUGAUGAUGUCAUGUUCAGUUUAUAACCUGUGGAAAAAUGUGUAUGCUUCAGUACUCUCUGGAAUUAAACGCUCUUUACCUGGCUUUUAA